CUGUGACAGCCAAUAGGCUCCUAAAUGUUUAUUUCCAGGAAAUCUAAAACAAACCACAAAGAAGUUCUGUACAGUACGUACUGGGUUCACUAAGGAGGUAACUAGUUAAAGGGCUGAUGCAUCCAGGAAAUCAGAGAGGACUGUGGGAUAAAUUCUGAUAAAAACUAUGUACCUACAUUCAUAAGGUAGGUCACUGAGGGUUCUUAAUUGUGUGUUAUUGGAUUGUAAUACAAAAUGUUUAUGUUGUAAAGGGCUUGCAUUCCUUAAAAGAGGUGAUAAAACAUGUUUUUAUUUCAGGUAACUAGGUCCUGUAGUAAAAGUCAGAAGCCUGGAAAGCGAAGCCCUUUUUCAGUGAAUGAGCAGAAAUACACAUCUCAGAUGGGUUUUCAAAACAGUAACUCUUCCAUUCUGUAAAUCCCUGGAACAAUGAAGCAAGUAAGCUGGAUUCCCACCCUUGCCACUUGCUGGGUCAGUAAUAAAUGAGAAACUAUCUCAUUUGAUGAGCCA
rnacentral:lncRNA from 1 species